rnacentral:misc_RNA from 1 species
ACAGAGCAAAUGAACGGUUGUAAAACGAACGAAUAACGGAAUUAUAAUGAUAGAAAAUAUUUUUUUUUUAUGAAAAAAUAAGAAAACGAAAACACAAAUAGAUUUAUUUUUGCAAAAAAUUUAAAAAUAUUUUAGUGAAUUUGUUGUUGCCAAACAAAUUAAAGCAAAAACAAAAAGUUGUGAAUGAAAACAAAAAAUUUUUGAAAUUUAUAAAAAAAUUGAAAAACGCGCGGUUUUUCCUUUAAAUUGUAUCUCUAAACAUUUGCUCUUUUUGCUUUUGUAACGUUCAAAUCGUACUACUUAAUGAAAACGCUUUAAAAGGGUUUUUUUUAUAGUUAUUUGUUGACGGUGGUGUUGUUAUUGUUGCUGCAACACUAAUUACCGCAUGUCGCGUUCGUGUACAAUUUCAUGUUUUUAUGUUCAUUUCACAUACGCAUGAGGAUUCAUUCCGGUGAUUAUUUCGUUUUUUAUUUCAAAGCUGGUAUUAAAGGCAACUGCAACAAAUAUUUUUGUUUUUUAUGGUCCAAUAACAAAAAGGAUUAAAUCUCCCAAAGUGUUGAGCAACGACAAGAAAUACGAAAAAAAAUCUGGCAAAAAAAAUAGACUGCAAUUGCACACGCAAGAAUUUAAAUGCAUUGCUGCACAAAUGUAAUCAAUAUGAAUGGAAGGAAUAUAAAGUUUAAUUAAAAUAAAUAUCAAGGUUCAAAUAGAAUAAUUCAAAUUAAGAUAUAUUAAACAAAGGGUGAAAUUUGAAAAAAAAAAAUUAAAAAUAUAUAUAUAAAAUAAAUUUAAAAAAAAUAUUAAAGUGAAAAUAUCAAAAAAUUUUCAAAGUUAAUAGAAAUGCAAAAAAUAUAAAAAAGUUAUGUGAAAAUAUUUACAAAAAAUAACAGUGAUUUUUUUAAAUUUAAUUAAAUCAAUACAAUUAGCACUCAAGUGCAGAUUUCACAAAAAAACAUAAAAUAAAUCUCCACAUAUUAAAGAAAUUAAAAAAAAAUCUAUUAAAACCUACAGUGUAACGAAAGUAAAGCAAAAUAUCAUAAAAAAUAAUAUUUGAAUAUUUCCAAGUGAAGAAAAAUCUGACCAUAAAUUAAAUAUAAAAUAAAAAAAAACUCACACACAAAUUCAAACCAAAAAGUCUGCUUAAUUAUAAUACACUCUCUACCUUUUCGAACAUAUUUCAACCAUAAUUUGUUAUACUUUGGGUUUAUUUUUCAACGUGUCUACAACAAAUUAUAUUGCAACACGCCAUCAUCACCAACAGCCAAUAAUAACAAAAGCAGCUGAGGAGCAGCAACAGCAAUAAUUUUGCAACAUUAUCAACAACAACGUAUUUAGCCUCUGGUUAUGCAAAAAUUGUAUUUUAUUAUUAUUCACUCAACAAAAUUUAAAACGUUUUUACGUUGUUUCGUGAAUUUCCUGCAAUAAUUUUCCAAA